CCAAAGGGAGCAAAAAUGUUUAUUAUUAUUAUUAUAGGGUUUUGCCAAAUUGAACUAUGAACUCUAAACCCUAUCUUCCACCACCAUGAGCGACCGUGACCGCCACCGUGACAGAGAAAGAGACCGUAGACGAGACAAAGACGAUCGCGAUCGUGACAGAGACCGUGACCGUGACCGCGACCGUGACAGAGAUCGUGACCGCGACCGUGACAAGGAUCGCGACAGAGCACGCAGCAAGAGAUCCCGUACGCGUUCACCUGAGCGUGGACGCUCUCGCCACUCACGCUCCCGAUCUCCCGUCGACCGUUCCCACCGUCGACGCCACCACCGAACACCUUCCCCCGACCCUCCCAGAAAGCGUCACCGGCGAGACUCCGUCGAUGACGACCACAAAGAAACUAAGAAAGUGGUGUCUGAUUUCGUCGACGGAAUCGCCAAGGAACAACAAGAGAAGCAGAAAGAGAAUGGAGAAGAAGUUGAGAUGAAUGAAGACGAGAUUGAGAUGAUGAAGAUGAUGGGGAUUCCUACUGGUUUUGACUCCACCAAGGGAAAACCGGUACCUGGUGCUGAUGUCAGCGGCAUUAGAGCAGUCACUAAACGGCAACCGAGGCAGUAUAUGAACCGGCGUGGCGGCUUCAAUCGUCCAUUGCCUGCUGAGAAGAAUCGUUAGGUUUUGCAUCCUUCAUAAGAUUAUCAAUAUGAUUAACUGAAUGUCUUCAAUUGACUCAUUUUGUGUUGGAGCUAAAAUUUUAGGUAAUAUAUGUUUUGGUGGCGGUUCAAUCAUAGGGAAGCUUGGAGCCAGAAACAGUUGGUGGGAUAAAGAAGAAGGAUUGUAAGAGUUUCUCUUGUUUUUUUACACACUAAUUGUAUUGAAUUAAUGCCCUAUGCUACCUUCAGCUCACUGUCCCGUGUAAUUUUUUGGAUAGACAAAUGUCAGUGUUAGUUUGUAGGGUCUGUAAUUUGGAUCUUUUGGUUAGUACUUAUUUGAUGUCUCUUAACUCACCACCUUGAGAUCAAAUAUGUCCAGUGUAAGCAACUCUCAAGGUUCCUUUUUGAUUGUCGGUUUUUAACAAAAACAUUAUUCGUAUUUAUGCGCCAUUUGUCAAACUUACAAGGUUAUAUUAACUACCUUUUUGUUAAUUA